rnacentral:rRNA from 1 species
GAUGAACGCUGGCGGCGUGCCUAAUACUUGCAAGUCGAACGGAGAAUGUAGCAAUACGUUCUUAGUGGCGAACGGGUGAGUAACGCGUUGGUGACCUACCCCAAAGUGUGGGAUAACAGAUCGAAAGAUCUGCUAAUACCGCAUGUGGUUAUCGGAUUCAGAAACUGAUAACUAAAGCAGCAAUGCGCUUUGGGAGGGGCCUGCGUCCCAUCAGCUAGUUGGUGAGGUAAUGGCUCACCAAGGCGACGACGGGUAGGGGACCUGAGAGGGUGGCCCCCCACAAUGGAACUGAAACACGGUCCAUACACCUACGGGUGGCAGCAGUAGGGAAUAUUGCUCAAUGGGCGAAAGCCUGAAGCAGCAACGCCGCGUGUGCGAUGAAGGCCUUCGGGUCGUAAAGCACUUUUCUGAGGGAUGAGAAAGGACAGUACCUCAGGAAUAAGUCUCGGCUAACUACGUGCCAGCCGCCGCGGUAAAAC